UUUCAAGAAAAAAGAUGCGAUACACAAGCAAUUUGCACUUAGCUUUUUGAAAAAUUCCUUCCUAUAAUGAAAAGCACACUAUACUACAGGUUACCUAUUUUGGGGGCAAAAAGUUGAACAAUGGAAAUUGUACUCCAAUCUCCAAGUCUGCGUAAUAGAGCGGAAAGAACACUAUAUGUAACACUUCGUAAUCAGAUAUGAUUCUGUUGAGACUUCUGAAAGUUGGCUCCUU
rnacentral:lncRNA from 1 species